GAGUUUGAUCAUGGCUCAGAACGAACGCUGGCGGCAUGCCUAACACAUGCAAGUCGAACGAAGGCUUCGGCCUUAGUGGCGCACGGGUGCGUAACGCGUGGGAAUCUGCCCUUGGGUUCGGAAUAACUCAGAGAAAUUUGAGCUAAUACCGGAUGAUGACGUAAGUCCAAAGAUUUAUCGCCCAAGGAUGAGCCCGCGUAGGAUUAGCUAGUUGGUGGGGUAAAGGCCCACCAAGGCGACGAUCCUUAGCUGGUCUGAGAGGAUGAUCAGCCACACUGGGACUGAGACACGGCCCAGACUCCUACGGGAGGCAGCAGUGGGGAAUUUUGGACAAGUGGGGGCAACCCUGAUCCAGCCAUGCCGCGUGUGCGAAGAAGGCC
rnacentral:rRNA from 1 species